AAAAAACACACCCGUCCACUGUCCGAUCCCCCCUCCCUCUCUCUCUCUCUACCCGAUUGCGCCGCUGCCCCCGACCUCAACCUAACUCAACUGCCUCGCCGCCCCUGAUCUGCGCGCCGCCGCCCGUCCUCUGGUCCCCUCGUGCCACAUCAUCUCCGAUCCUGGCCUUCCUCCCCGCAGGGCACCAUCCGCCCAGGAGUAGCAGCUCCGUCCGCCACGCCGAGGAGCAGCAGCGCCGUCAACCGCCACCGAGGAUCCACUGCAGAUUUUUCUCCACGUGCGACCUCUGCUUCGGCUAAUCUCCUUUCCUCUGCCCCGCCUACAGAAUACAAGAGGUGGUGAAGGCAAGUAAAGAAUUUAUGCCCGUUCUGUUACAGGAACAUGUGAAUAGGUGAUAGUCCUCCUAAGCUGCUUAAUGCUACAAUUUCUAAUGUCAUUAUAAACAUUGGAUGCAUCAGACUGUCAUAAUACCUAGUUUUUAUAUAAAAUGAUAAUAAAUAAGGGCAUAAUAUGAUGACAGUAAAUCUGGGUUAUGGAAGAAUAUUGAAUAUUUGGUUUCUACAUUUGUAUAUGUAUAGCAGCACCCUGAUUAUGCGAAUAGUAUCAAAUCCAGAGCCCAAAUCAUGGCAGCUAGUAGAAAAUGUAUGGUUUAGUUUGUAGCCCCAUACAUGUGAAUAUUAUUCCAGCAAGAAUGUGAGCUGCUAGCAUAUAUCUAUCUAUCCCAGGUACUUUGCGGAUAGGCCAGCGGCGAGCCUUGUUUUUUCUUUUUAGAUUUUCCCUUGAUGUAUUCUCCUUGUUGAACGAACAGUUUUUGGCAUCCUGGCAUGCCACCAUUGUGCUGGUUGGAUCUUGGUUACCAAUUAAUAUUCAGGAGAUGACUCUCUUUUAAUUUAUUGAUUUUCUUGUUGCGAGGAGAGGGUUGCUGAUGCCGAUGAUUUAUAGUUCGGAUGAUGAUGAUGGUGACCAGCCACUGUUGCUCGAGGAUGAAGCAGGAUGAACCGAGGUCCUCGAAGCCUAUCCCUGAUGCUGAUGGGUGGACAGUUGUGCCGCCUAGGUGUGAUCACCCUGGGCAAUAGUAAAUUAAGCAUAUGAGAAGCAAAACUUGGUGCUAUUUGGUCUGAAGGUAGAGUUGGAACCCCUCCGGUUCAGCACCUGGCAUGGUCAGUUGGAAUUGGAUAAGGAUCACAAACCCACCAAGUCGCCCUUUUGAUCAACUACAACAACAAUAACAACAACAAACAAUGUGCAGGCACCCGGCUCAAUGGACGAGGAGGACAACUAAGACCCCAAGCCCAAGACGACAACCCUAACCUCAACUUCCCAAAUAAGGUUGUGGAUCAGCGCCUCUUGACUGUGAGGGACAAAUGGUAGAAAGUAGCAAGUCCACAAGUUGACUGAAGAUGUUCUCGUGACUGCUUUUGUUGAGAACAGGGUUGACACAUUUUGUUCAUAUGGAAGUUGAUUCGGCUUGGCGAUUGAAGAGUUGGUCUUCCGUAUUAUUCUGUAGCAAUCCAGUGAUCAUGCAAUUGGUCUCUUAGGAACUUUGGCCAUUAUGUUUGUAACAUGCCUCUCUUGUAUAUCUGAUUUGUGGAUCCUUAAUGGUUGUAGCUACUUGAGUGAAGUAAAACAAUGAAUGUUCUAUAUAUGUUGAAUGAAUGCAUUUGAUCAA